rnacentral:rRNA from 1 species
GACGAACGCUGGCGGCGUGCUUAACACAUGCAAGUCGAACGGAAAGGCCCUGCUUGCAGGGUGCUCGCGUGGCGAACGGGUGAGUAACACGCGGGUGAUCUGCCCCCUAUUUUGGGUUAAGCCUGGGAAACUGGGUCUAAUACUGGAUAGGACCAUGCUUUAGGCGGUGUGGUGGAAAGAUUAGUUUCGGUUAGGGAUGAGCUCGCGGCCUAUCAGCUUGUUGGUGGGGUAAUGGCCUACAAAGGCGUUGACGGGUAGCCGGCCUGAGAGGGUGGACGGCCACAUUGGGACUGCGAUAGGGCCCAGACUCCUGCGGGAGGCAGCAGUGGGGAAUAAGGCACAAUGGGCGCAGGCCUGAUGCAGCGACGCCGCGUGGGGGAUGACGGCCUUCGGGUUGGAAACUCCUUUCAGCCAUGACGAAGCCCUUGUGGUGACGGUAGUGGUAGAAGAAGCACCGGCUAACUACGUG